GAGCUGCGAUUAAUUACGGAAGGAAGUGGUCAAUUAACGACGGAGGCGAUUAAUUACCAAAGGAGGCGAUCAAUUACUGAAGGAGGCAAUUAAUUACCGAAGGAGGCGAUUAAUUACCGAAGGAGGCGAUUAAUUACCGAAGGAGCUGUUCAAUCACUGAAGGAGCUGCUCAAUCACCCAAGGACCUGUUCAAUCACCGAAAGAACUGCGAUUAAUUACGGAAGGAAGCGGUCAAUUAACGACUGAGGCAGUUAAUUACCAAAGGAGGCGAUUACCGAAGGAGGCGAUUAAUUACCGAAGGAGGCAGUUAAUUACUGAAGGAGGCGAUUAAUUACCGAAGGAGCUGUUCAAUCACCCAAGGACCUGUUCAAUCACCGAAAGAACUGCUCAAAUACCAAAGGAAGAGAU
rnacentral:lncRNA from 1 species